rnacentral:rRNA from 1 species
GGCGUGCCUAAUACAUGCAAGUCGUACGGGAAAGCCGGAUUCGUCCGGCGAGUACAGUGGCGCAUUGGUGAGUAACGCGUGGGCAAUCUACCUUUUCGUGGGGAAUAACGAUCCGAAAGGAUUGGUAAUACCGCAUGAGACCGAUGGCUGGGAUGCUGUCGGUGAAACCUGGGGACCGCAAGGCCUGGGGCGAGAAGAGGAGCCUGCGUCUGAUUAGCUAGUUGGCGGGGUAACGGCCCACCAAGGCGACGAUCAGUAGCCGGCCUGAGAGGGUGAUCGGCCACACUGGAACUGAGACACGGUCCAGACUCCUACGGGAGGCAGCAGUGGGGAAUUUUGCGCAAUGGACGAAAGUCUGACGCAGCAACGCCGCGUGGGUGAUGAAGGUCUUCGGAUUGUAAAACCCUGUCGUCGGGGACGAAGGUGGGGGCGUUAACAGCGCCUUUGCUUGACGGUACCCGGAGAGGAAGCCCCGGCUAACUCUGUGCCAGCCGCCGCCGUAACAC